rnacentral:rRNA from 1 species
UACCUGCAGCUCAAGUGGUGACCACUAUUAUUGGGCCUAAAACGUUCGUAGCCGGUUUGGUAAAUGCCUGGGUAAAUCGUGUAGCUUAACUAUACGAAUUCCGGGUAGACUGCCAAACUUGAGACCGGGAGAAGCUAGAGGUACUCCUGGGGUAGAGGUGAAAUUCUGCAAUCCUGGGGGGACCACCAGUGGCGAAGGCGUCUAGCUAGAACGGGUUUGACGGUGAGGAACGAAGCCCUGGGGCGCAAACCGGAUUAGAUACCCCGGGUAGUCCAGGGUGUAAACGCUGCUUGCUUGAUGUUAGUUGGGCUCCGAGCCCAAUUAGUGUCGGAGAGAAGUUGUUAAGCAAGCUGCCUGGGAAGUACGAUCGCAAGAUUGAAACUUAAAGGAAUUGGCGGGGGAGCACAGCAACGGGUGGAGCGUGCGGUUU